UCUCAGUAGGAGGUCUCUGUAGGAAGGCAGUCUCAGGUUGUAGUCCUCUGGGAGGAGAAAGCUGCCUUGCUAGUUCUGCUCACUGUUUCUUGUUAAAGGUUAACAGUUAUCAGUGUCUGUGCUGAGACUUGGGAAGGCUUUGCCCUUGCUGAGCCUGACCUGGGAAGGCUUUGUCACCCGUUGCCAUGGCUCUGAGGCACUGGGGGCCUGAACAUGGCUGUGCUCGAGUCAACAGUCCAUAACCCUCUGGGGAGAAGGGACUCCAUCGCUCUCAGCACUUCCUUCCUCCCACUUGCUCCGGUCAGACGCUGCUUUCCUCAGUUUCUACAGCCCCCUGAGAGUCUGUUCAACCCUGAGCCGGUUGGUGGAUCAGCCCCUUGCUGAAGGCAGAGUCCUUAUGAUGUGUUCGUCUCCCUAAACCCAACCUUUCAGUGGGUACAAGCCUUUAACGUGAUGGACCUUUAGAGGACAUUUCAUAUCCUAAGCUAUAGCAGCCUGGCGACUGGAUGGCCACGUCAAUGUGCUAUAGCAAACAUGAGCAUCAGGAUUUCUGUCAGGGAGGAGAUGUGCCACCCAAGUCAUGGCGGCUCUUUGUGGAGCACUGACAGUUCCAGUGAGUCCAGUGUUUCAGUCUGCAUGUAGGACCAACUCGUGUCUCUCCUCAGGAGUGUGAACACAGGCACUGCAGAGGCCUCUGUGAGUCGGGCAGAGCAUGACACACACAGGAAACACUCCUGUGUUGCCUGAGAUCUGCCCGUCCCAGGGCCACAUUCGUCUGGACACAACACGCUGUACCCACGGGUGACCCUUGUGACUGCCC
rnacentral:lncRNA from 1 species